AAGAAGAAGAAAAAGAAGAAGAUGAUGAUGAUGAAUAUGAAGAGAAGGAGAAAAAGUAAAAGAGGUGGUGUAAAGCGUUUGAACGUUGGACGUCAUAACGAGAGAUACUUUCUUCUCUGAACGUUAAAUCGUAACGCAGAUUUUCAAAUCUCUCGAUAGGAAUUCUUUUACAAUUGAUGAUAAUUUCAAUUAAACGCGAGAUCAAAUGAAACUUCUCAUAAGGUAGAGACGCGUAUAGAGUGGGCGCGGCAAAGCAACUAAAAUCGUGUACCGAUUGUAUAAAAUGGUAACACACGUCUUUUGAUCGUCGUCUUGGUCUUGGUCGUCUUGGUCGUUGGUGUCGUCGUCGUCGUCGUCGUCGUCGUUGUCGGUGGUUUCAAGAUACGAUUUUAGCAGACGAGUGAGUGUUGCAGAGGGAGAGGACUACGAGAGAGUACGAGAAAGAGAAAGAGAAAGAGAAAGAGAGAGAGAGAGAGAGAGAGGAGAGUCGGUAGAUCCAAAAGAGAACGAGUGAAGAAGGUGUACGGCAGAAGGCAUCGUAUCGCCAGUAGAAGAAGCAGAAGAAGAAGAAGAAGAAGAAGAAGAAGAAGAGGGCGAGAGUAUUAACAAACCGAGGGAAAAGAUACCAAAAAUAAUUUCGGCGGGAAGAAAUAAAUCCGGGUAGAAGAGAUCGCGACCGGGCCGAACUGUGCGGAGUGGAACUCUCGCUGGCGAAGAAGAAGAACCCCGAGUGGCAUCGGUGGGUGUCCUCCCUGUUAACCCGAUAGAGAAGAUUAUCACCUCGGAUUGUGAUUAUAUAGGUGCGUGAUCAAUCUCAAUUCUCUAUUUAUUUAUCGAAUAAAUAUUUAUUAUUAUUUAUUAUAAUGAUAAUGAAAAAAAGGAAAGACAAUGAAGAAGAAGAUAACAAUAUAAGAAAAUAAUAAUAAUAAUAAUAAGGAGGAACAAGUGCAACGAAAAUAUGUGAAUUCAAAGUGUUACGAAUAAUCGGAUUUUGAGAGAUUAAGAGGCGACAACAACCGAGGACACGAGGAGGAUGUGUAAUAGAGCAAAAGCAAGGCGGUGUAUAAGAAGAGAGAAGCUCGGAGCGCCGAGAAGCGGGCAGCUGCAAGCACGGCAGGACUUACCUCUGCUGUUUUUAGAACUCCACUCCCAGAACUGCGCGGGCUGAUCCGAGCCAAAACCAAAAUACCAACGAUAUAGGAGCAAGCCCCUUUCCUCUCUUCGUUCUCUCACUUAUUCUCUCUCUCUCUCUCUCUCUCUCUCUCUUUCUCUUAUUACCAGAGCUUACUCUCUUUUCUCUUUCUCUCUCUUUUCCUCCACCAUGUUGAACGCAAGAGUCCAACGCCAUCCCUCUAACCCCUUCUCUCUCUCUCUCUCUCUCUCUCUUUCUAUCUAUCUUCUUUUCUCCCUCUCUCUGACACUAACUCUCCUUCUAACCGUGGUCCACACACCGCCUCCUUGGCACCGAUAUCCAACCGGCGCGAACCUCCAAGACGUGAUACCAACGAAACACUCUAACCUAACCGACGUUUAGCCACUGACGCCGUUAGAGACCAACGAAAAGAUCAAGAAGAAGAAGAAGAAGAAGAAGAAGGAUGGCGGCGACGAUACCUCGACGAUGACGAACCUACUACCCAUGCUUAAACCCUCCUCUUCUCUUUCUAUCUCUAUUCUUCUCAUUGUCUUUUUCUUUCUUUCUUUCAUUCUUUCUCUUUAUUUUCUGACGAUGAUUAAUACUCAUGUUCGAUCUACCUUAUGCCUAAACCAUACGAUGAUGAUAACGAUGAUGAUGAUGAUGAUGAUGAUGUUGAUGAUAAAUGAUGAAUGAUCUUUCAACGUUCCAAUGUGUCAUUGAUAUUUGUGAAAAUAAACCUAACAACGUUUUAGGUAUAACGUCCGAUCAUCACACAGUGCAUAGUGUAUCAGGUGAUUCCUGAUAAUGUUCGAGUUAUCAUAUUAUAUCGAUUAAUAUAUGUUUCCAUGUAUGUAUAUAACAUGAAAAGAAAAAAGAAACAAAGUAUUAAUAAUAAUAAUAAUAAUAAUAAUAAGUGAUAAUUUUGUUGUCAAGUAGAAAUUGAUCGAAAUCAUCGAAGAAAAUCAAUGUAUUUCGUAAAAUUGAUCAAAAUUAUAGGCGUGCCAGUUAUGCGUUCGUUAUUACGAAGAAAGCCAAACGCAGUAGUAAACGUUAACACAAUUUAAGGGGUGUGUCGACUUUGCGUGAAACAAACGUAUCGCGAUGAAGUAUUGGAAUAAAUCGAUAUCGCAUUUUUUCGAUUUCCUCUUCUAGACUUAAAAAAAAAAAAAAAAAAAAAAAAAAGAAAAUGAAAGAAAAAGGGAAUUUAAAUAUCAAUCGAGAUUGACUUUAUGAUCACCUAAUUUCUCUCUAAUCGUUCACUGUCUAAUGCCAACAGAGAAAUAUCGUGACUGACAAUCUACAAUUGGAAUAUUCGAGUUAGGAGGCUACGAUAGAUAUCUAUUUUAUUUAGCAAGUGUCGGUAUAAAUUAGAUUACAAGAUAGAUAGCUAGAUAGCUAGCAAAAUAUAUAGAUAGAUAGAUAGAUUGAUAGAUGAAACGAGAAAGAUAUAUAUAUAGAGAGAGAGAGAGAAGAGAAUCUAUCCAUAAGUGACAUAACAUAAUUCAAUUCUCAGAAUGUAAUGAUAUCACUCUUCUCUCUCUCUCUCUCUCUCUCUCUCUCUCUUUGCUACCGAAGAGAAAUCCAUCCAAUUAUAAAAUCUGUCGUAACAUCGAAGUUUCCGUGAUUAGCGUGAUGGCACCGACAUACCAACCAACCAGCGACCAUUCGCUAGCUAUCUCACUACUCUCUGCAAGAUAUCAUUGAAUUCUUAAUGUCACGUUAUCUUUCUCUCUCUCUCUCUCUCUCUCUCUCUCUUCUUCUUCUUUCGAUUCGAUAGUGCCGUAUCUGAAACUAAUCGGGUUAGCGGAGCCUGGAAGCAUCGCCAAAAUAGCAAACGUUAUUAAUUUAAAUCACUUUUGAUACGCUUACGGUAAAAUCGUCGUUACGUUUAACCGACACAAAACGUCACUCGAUUUCUGGAUAUUUCCUACGAAUAAAAACCAAUGGGAAUGGUAGUCCCCAUUUCCAUCUCUCUGUCUCUCUCUCUCUCUCUCUCUCGUUCCUACUCAUUAUCAAUUUCUUCUUCUUCAUCCCUUAAAUUCCUUUUUCCACGUCCGAUUUACUAGAAUUUGAACGAAAUAUCCGAUGACCGAGCGACGAAGAAAAUCGAUACUCGUUCCUAUAUAUUACUCCAUCCACGAGGAACCCAAUCAUCCCCAACGAUGAUAAAAACGAGCUUUAACAAAAUUGACGAUUAAAACAAAUAUAUAAUGUUAGAUAAACUUUCAUAUCUCAUCAAAUUUCAAUGGAUCAAUAUUAAAUUCCACGUUUAUAAAUCAAUUCGAGAGAGAGAGAGAGAAUAUAUAUGUUCAAUCGUAACCGAUCGACGAGAGAGUUACGUGAUUUCUAAAGGAAAAAAAAAAAAAA